rnacentral:rRNA from 1 species
GAUGAACGCUAGCUACAGGCUUAACACAUGCAAGUCGAGGGGAAACGAUAUUGGAAGCUUGCUUCCGAUAGGCGUCGACCGGCGCACGGGUGAGUAACGCGUAUCCAACCUGCCCAUCACUUGGGGAUAACCUUGCGAAAGUAAGACUAAUACCCAAUGACGUCUCUAGAAGACAUCUGAAGGAGAUUAAAGAUUUAUCGGUGAUGGAUGGGGAUGCGUCUGAUUAGCUUGUUGGCGGGGUAACGGCCCACCAAGGCGACGAUCAGUAGGGGUUCUGAGAGGAAGGUCCCCCACAUCGAGACUGAGACACGGUCCAAACUCCUACGGGAGGCAGCAGUGAGGAAUAUUGGUCAAUGGACGAGAGUCUGAACCAGCCAAGUAGCGUGCAGGAUGACGGCCCUAUGGGUUGUAAACUGCUUUUAUAAGGGAAUAAAGUGAGUCUCGUGAGACUUUUCGCAUGUACCUUAUGAAUAAGGACCGGCUAAUUCCGUGCCAGCAGCCGCAGUAA